rnacentral:rRNA from 1 species
GACGAACGCUGGCGGCGUGCUUAACACAUGCAAGUCGAACGCUGAAGCAUCUUCGGGUGUGGAUGAGUGGCGAACGGGUGAGUAACACGUGGGUAAUCUGCCCUGCACUCUGGGAUAAGCCUUGGAAACGGGGUCUAAUACCGGAUACGACGCGCUACCGCAUGGUGGUGUGUGGAAAGUUCCGGCGGUGCAGGAUGAGCCCGCGGCCUAUCAGCUUGUUGGUGGGGUGAUGGCCUACCAAGGCGACGACGGGUARCCGGCCUGARAGGGUGACCGGCCMCMCUGGGACUSARACACGGCCCAGACUCCUACGGGAGGCARCAGUGGGGAAUCUUGCGCAAUGGGCGAAAGCCUGACGCAGCAACGCCGCGUGGGGGAUGACGGCCUUCGGGUUGUAAACCUCUUUCGACAUCGACGAAGGCCCUUUUGGGGUUGACGGUAGGUGUAGAAGAAGCACCGGC